rnacentral:lncRNA from 1 species
UAACUGAAUCGCAGAUCUGUAACUGACCGCGGAAUUACGAAAGGAACCCACAAUUGCCAAAGGAAGAUUUUUCUCCUUUUCCUCAACUUUUCUAUACAUAUCUACAUAAACAUGUAUGUAUCUAUACUCAUUCAUUAUGGGGAUAGGUUCUCGAAAUGGAUUUGGCUGUUGGUUUUGUGCCAUCUGUCAGCCGAAUCUGCGUGAUGCGGGUAUUAAAAGCAAUAUGCUUUCGGCUCUGUAUGAAAGUUCCUGGUACCCAUAAAAUAAUCAACCAAAUUCCCAAGCAGGGAUUCCAUUUGAAAUGAUGAGCAACUCCAUGCAAAUCUUGUGGGCGGAAGGAUAUGUGGUAUUGGAUGAACAUUAGAAUUUCUUUUCUUCCCUACCCUACUUAACAAAACUAAUAGACAGAAAUCUCUUUGAUAUCUUAACCUUUCCUGCCACUGUAAAAAAAUUAAUUUUACUCUCAUUUUUCCCAUCAAGGCAUAGGCAUGAUUUCAUGCAGAUGAUAUGAGUGAGAGUGGGAUGUUGUCAUAGGUUGUGUCACUUGUUGGUUGUAUCCAUCAUUCUUCUGGAAUGAAUUGGAGCAAUUGAAGGAUUAUUACUAAUAUACUGUAUUUGUGUGCCACUUUGCUCAAUCAUGUCAACAAAGUCCAAGUCAGUGAUUGGGGCUCAGACACUAUAAUGGGUUCAAAAAGCAUUGUUGGUGCACAACUGCCAGGUAGCAUAAAAAGAAAGCUUUCAAAACCCAACUUUAUAUAAUUAUCUGGAUUGGAUCCAUU